GUUCAGCAAUAUUCUUGGGAUGUCUGGUGUGAAUCGCUUUCUUGAGGUCAUGCCACAGCAUCUCAGUCGGGUUGAGGUCAGGACUCUGACUGGGCCACUUUAGAAGGCGUAUUUUCUUCUGUUUAAGCCAUUCUGUUGUUGAUUUACUUCUAUGCUUUGGGUCAUUGUCCUGUUGCAACACCCAUCUUCUGUUGAGCUUCAGCUGGUAGACAGAUGGCCUUAAGUUCUCCUGAAAAUGUCUUGAUAAACUUGGGAAUUAAUUUUUCCUUCGAUGAUAGCAAUCCGUCCAGGCCCUGACGCAGCAAAGCAGCCCCAAACCAUGAUGCCCCCACCACCAUACUUCACAGUUGGGAUGAGGUUUUGAUGUUGGUGUGCUGUGCCUUUUUUUCGCCACACAUAGUGUUGUGUGUUUCUUCCAAACAACUCAACUUUGGUUUCAUCUGUCCACAGAAUAUUUUGCCAGUACUGCUGUGGAACAUCCAGGUUCUCUUGUGCAAACUGUAAACGUGCAGCAAUGUUUUGUUUGGACAGCAGUGGCUUCCUCUGGUAUCCUCCCAUGGAAUCCAUACUUGUUUAGUGUUUUACGUAUUGUAGAUUCGCGAAAACAG